rnacentral:lncRNA from 1 species
UAAAGUAAAAUGAGAACUCUCUUAGUAUUCUCUGAAAUUUCCAAACAUUUGAAGUUUACAACCUUAAUCGCCAUUAUAUUAUACUAGACAAAAAAAAAGACCAAGUAUGUUCGUUAGGGUCCCUUGUCCAACAAACAAUGGAUUAACAUGGAAAUGGAUUUUAAGGAAAUAUUAUUGGAUACUAGUUAGAAUCUAAAAAACAAAAAAUAUAACAACUUUCAGUAUUAUGAUUGACACUGAAGUGAAGAAAUUUAAUAACAUAUAUAUGCAAUUCUGUCAGUAACUAUACACCCAAAACUGUAAGUAUUUCCUUUAUAGGAAUUAAAAAAAAAAAUUAAGAAAUAGUAGAAGGAAACCUAGGGAUGCAAAUCUUCUUCAAUUCUAUAAUAGAAAGAACCUCCAGAACAAGUUUACAAUGAUGAAAAUCCAAACUAAAUACAGUAGCAAUUAUGUUAAGAAACCAAAAUAAGAAUUGAAACUCUUGUGUGAAAUCGGAAUCGUAACGACAACCCAAUAUUGACUCAUAUUUUAGCCUCUCGAUAUUUUCUCUCUUCAACAGUUUUUCAAUCUUUUCUUUUCUCUUCC